rnacentral:rRNA from 1 species
UACGAAGGGGGCUAGCGUUGCUCGGAAUCACUGGGCGUAAAGGGUGCGUAGGCGGGUCUUUAAGUCAGGGGUGAAAUCCUGGAGCUCAACUCCUGAACUGCCUUUGAUACUGGCAAUCUAGAGUCCGGAAGAGGUUAGUGGAAUUCCCAGUGUAGAGGUGAAAUUCGUAGAUAUUGGGAAGAACACCAGUGGCGAAGGCGGCUAACUGGUCCGGUACUGACGCUGAGGUGCGAAAGCGUGGGGAGCAAACAGG